AUUAACCAGGUUUUCCGAAGGAAAAAACUGGUUAUUAGAUUGGCGAAUGCGGGCGGGCUGGCUGGCGGGCUGGCUGGCUGGCGGAAUAAGCUUGUCCGGGCCAUAACUAUGUCGUUCAUUGUCAGAUUUUAAAAUCAUUUGGCACAUUUGUUCACCAUCAUUGGACGGUGUGUCGCGCGAAAUAAUUACGUCGAUAUCUCCAAGGUCAAGGUCACACUUUGAGUUCAAAGGUCAAAAAUGGCCAUAAAUGAGCUUGUCCUGGCCAUAACUAUGUCAUUCAUUGUGAGAUUUUAAAAUCAUUUGGCACAUUUGUUCACCAUCAUGGGACGGUGUGUCCCACGAAAGAAUCACGUCAAUAUCUCCAAUGUCAAGGUCGCCACGACUAAAAAUAGAUUUAAAAAAAAAAAAAAACUUACAAAGGGGGUUAAUUUUUUUUGGUCAUUUCAAAA